CAUAUGCUUGUCUCAAAGAUUAAGCCAUGCAUGUCUCAGUACAAGCCAAAUUAAGGUGAAACCGCGAAAGGCUCAUUAAAUCAGUUAUGGUUCCUUAGAUCGUACCCACAUUUACUUGGAUAACUGUGGUAAUUCUAGAGCUAAUACAUGCAAACAGAGUUCCGACCGGAGACGGGAGGAAUGCUUUUAUUAGAACAAAACCAAUCGGCGGCGGUCGCGCUCGUCGCGUCCGUUCGCCGCUCAAUUUGGUGACUCUGAAUAACUUUCGGCUGAUCGCACGGUCUCGCACCGGCGACGCAUCUUUCAAAUGUCUGCCUUAUCAACUGUCGAUGGUAGGUUCUGCGCCUACCAUGGUCGUAACGGGUAACGGGGAAUCAGGGUUCGAUUCCGGAGAGGGAGCCUGAGAAACGGCUACCACAUCCAAGGAAGGCAGCAGGCGCGCAAAUUACCCACUCCCGGCACGGGGAGGUAGUGACGAAAAAUAACGAUACGGGACUCAUCCGAGGCCCCGUAAUCGGAAUGAGUACACUUUAAAUCCUUUAACGAGGAUCAAUUGGAGGGCAAGUCUGGUGCCAGCAGCCGCGGUAAUUCCAGCUCCAAU
rnacentral:rRNA from 1 species